CAUUUCUCCUUCGUUCCAUUGCUUCGUUAAGAAUCCCUAUCCUGGCCAUCGAUCUCCCUGGAUGCCUACUUUUUCUGCAGUAUAGAGGAUAAUUUCAUGAUUCCUUUACUGAUAGAUAAUUGUGCCAUUUGUAUAAACCAUUAGACAGGUGAUUUUGAUCCAUGUCACAUGUGUACCUAUUUAUAAGAGAAUUUUUUUUGUUUAUGGAUUUUUAAGUAGAACAUGCUAUUUGGGGUUCCGGUUACCAUGGAAAGGGUGUGCCCAGCCAUAGAGAAAAACAUAAGCAUAGUAGAUUUGGUGAUUUCACAGUGAUCUUGUAAAUUUUAAAUACUUUAGGUGCUGGAUGUGCACCUUUUAUUUGAAUUCAGAAAUCGCAAUCUGGGUGUAGGAAAUUUCAGUUCUGACAGAAUGAUCUUGUAGGUGGAAAUUAAAAUGUCAAUUCAGGUUUCAGUAUGUUGAUUGUUUCUUUUCCAAACCCCAAGGAUGAUGCUUAGUUCUUUUUAGUGGUAGAGACUAUAUAUGAUUCACUCUUUCCAUUGGGCUUAUUGGCAUCCAUUUGUUUAGCAGGAGCUAGGUUUGCAUCUCUCACACAUUCAAGAUUUUUGAACAUUUGUUUUUCGUAGCUAAAACAAGUAGUCAAACAAUUCUCGGGACUUCACGGUUACAAAUCGAGUUGGUUCAAGCACUCUGGAAAUUUUGCAUAGGCUAUCUGAAAAUUUCUUGCCUGUGGUGGAGCUAUCUUUCUCAUUAAUGACUUGGCUUGAACUAAUUCUGCUGUUCAAUUUUCAUUUGUUCUGAAACAGAGAAUGGCAACUUGAAUGCUUGAGCAGUGACAAAAUUUUGUUCCUCGCCAUUGUCUCGUUCUUCAUCCUCAACCUUGCUGCUACUAAUCAGUCCGUGAUGCAUGUGGUUGGCUGGUGCCCGAGGGCUCAGAACGUGUUUGAUGGUUUGUUUGUUAGGUGCUGUGACCUGCCCUAGGGUGACGCCCCUGUGAGAGUGGAAAUAAAAACAUUCAGCCCAAUUUUUGGCUCAUUAGUUUCAGAAAAAAAAAUUAUGCCUUUUCUUGGCAGGAGUUUGAUUCUUCUGUGUUCUGUCCCGAUAUCAGUAGCUUGCGUAAUGAAUCCAAGUCAGGAAACUGUAAAGUAGAGCAUGUUAAGGUCUUCAAUUUAAUUGCCUUUUGUUUUGCAAGAGCAAAGUCAGACAUUCUGUCCAUAAUCGUUUGUCACUGUCUGUCAAGUUAUGCAUCUGUAUCUUACAUGGUUCACAUGUGGAUGCUAAAUGCCUUUCUAAUUGGGGAUAUUGGUAAUGUUGUCAUACUUUUUUGUGGCCUGAGUAUGCACGAGUCCUGUUUUGCCUUUCUGGUUCUGAACCUGAUUGUCUCCCUUGAAACAGCUCCACGAAUGCAUGAAGAGACAGCCGGUGGUAAUGUCAACUAAACUAGAUCUACCAUUUGGCUUUAAAAGUGGCACUGAUGAGGCUGUAAAGGAGGAAGAAGCAAUGCCAUACACAAACUGGCCUGGAACAAAGCCUCUUGAGACUGUUGAGUCGCUCCAGCGUCAAGGAGAUAAGCUAGCUCAGGUAUCUUAUUUUUCUGUUAGAUCAAUCCCCUACAGAUUUAUUUGAUUAUCGUAGAUGAAAGGCUGACAUGUUUUCUAUGGGUUACAUGCUGGUCCUAUCUCAAAUGCCUUUGGAGCUCAACCUUUUUUUAUGAUUUUCAUGGCCAAACAAUUAAAUUGUCUCAGGAAUGCACAUAGCAGCUGCUUCCAGUUUUGACAGGCCAUAUAUUUUGGUAUUUGUCCCUAAGACUCUAUGACGCGACUUUAAUGGAAGUUUCCUGGCAUGAAUACGCAAGUUUGCAGGUUGGUCUCCUUCCUACAGAGAUUGAUUUGAACCAUGUAGACAACUGGGUCGUCGAGUCAGUUGUCAAGAAGCUCAACAUCCUUAGUGUUCAUUUGACAAGCUCAAAGUCAUUGGUUGGCAUCAUAGGGUUGUAUCAGAGAUUCAGCGGGAAAAGAAGGUCAGCAUGCCUGUUUAUUUUUCUGGUUAUUGCAGUUAGAUUACCUAUUUCUAGGACAUACUCCAAUUACCAUGAUCAAUUCUAAAGAAUUUUACUUUCUUUGCUUGCUUAAUUGCCAUGCUUACUUUCUUUGCUUGCUUAAUUAUCAUGCUGUCUCCACAAAACUUAAUUGACUUGGGUAGAGCUGGUCUUGGUACUUGUUUGCUUGAAUCUGCUACUUUCCCCGUUUUUAGAAUGGUUCUGUCACUUGUUUAACAUAGAUUUUUUAUUAUUCUGAAUAAAUAAAUAUAUUGUUUAUACUAUGCUAAAUAUGAAUACCAUUUUAGAAACAGGGUUCACCCGGCUUUUACAGAAAGCAUAUAAAGGUACGCGAGUUCACUGGGAAUAAUGUCAGUUUUACAUGAGAAAAGAAAAAAACGACAAAAGAAGGUCGUUCCAGCAGAGUAACAAAGGAGAGCGGAACUACAAAAGGACUUCGUCGGGUGGUCGAUCUCUCAAAUGCUCCAGGGACUCUUCCAAUUUCAUCUCGAACAGAUAGAUAGAUAGAUCAAAUAUAUCUAAUUCCAAUCCAGGUUCUCAAUUAGAGUCGUAGAUUUUGUGCUUUCUGGAAAUGUAUAUGUGGCUGUUAGUUAUAGACAUUAGAGGUUGCAAGCUAAUUUGCUUUGUGUCUGAAGGAUAUCAAGAGGACAAGAGGGAGGGGCACUGAAAUGACUGAAUAAUGGUGCUAACUCCACCGUUUGCAUAACGAUGCAGCUGAGAUUAUAACUUGAACUAGCAAUGGUUGUUGUGUUGUUUUGUAGGUGGCCAGAUUGGGAAAGUGAAAUGUAAAUGUACUGCAUAUAUAGCAUCCUGUUUUAACAGUUAUUGCUUAUUUCUAGAUUCAAAUAUUAAGAAAAGGAAAAUAAUAAUUAGUACAAAAGAAUUUCUAUGCAAUGGGAA